ACGGGUGAGUAACACGUGGCUGACCUACCUCAGAGUAAGGGAUAACGGUUCGAAAGAGCUGCUAAUACCUUAUAAGCUUCCGGUAUUCAGAAAACUGGGAGAAAAGUUCAGGCGCUUUGAGAGGGGGCUGCGGGCCAUCAGCUAGUUGGUGAGGUAAAGGCUUACCAAGGCGACGACGGCUAGGGGGCCUGAGAGGGUGACCCCCCACACUGGAACUGAGACACGGUCCAGACUCCUACGGGAGGCAGCAGUGAGGAAUAUUGCACAAUGGGCGCAAGCCUGAUGCAGCGACGCCGCGUGAGUGAUGAAGGCCUUCGGGUCGUAAAGCUCUUUUCUAGGUGACGAGAAUGGACGGUAGCCUAGGAAUAAGUGUCGGCUAACUACGUGCCAGCAGCCGCGGUAAAACGUAGGACACAAGCGUUAUCCGGAGUUACUGGGCGUAAAGGGCGUGUAGGCGGGUCAAUAAGUCUAUUCUGAAAGCUCCUGGCUAAACUGGGAGAGGCGAAUGGAGACUGUUGGUCUAGAGUGAGGAAGAGGAAAGUGGAAUUCCGCGUGUAGUGGUGAAAUGCGUAGA
rnacentral:rRNA from 1 species